UUGGGGUGCAAUUAAUGGAUUUGGGGUCACUUCAAUGGGAUUUGGGGUCACUUUAAUGGGAUUUUGGGUCCAUUAAUGGGAUUUGGGGUCACUUUAAUGGGGUUUUGAGCCACAGAAUGGGGUUUUGGGGCACUUUAUUGGGGUUUUGGGGUCACUUUAAUGGGGUUUUGAGUCACAUAAUGGGGUUUUGGGGCACUUUAUUGGGAUUUGGGGUCCAUUAAUGGGAUUUCGAGCCACAGAAUGGGGUUUUGGGGCACUUUAUUGGGGUUUUGGGGUCACUUUAAUGGGGUUUUGAGCCACAUAAUGGGGUUUUGGGGCACUUUAUUGGGGUUUUGGGGUCACUUUAAUGGGGUUUUGGGGCUACGCAAUGGGAUUUGGGGUCAAUUAAUGGGAUUUCGGGGCUACGCAAUGGGAUUUGGGGUCACUUUAAUGGGAUUUGGGGUCACUUUAAUGGGGUUUUGAGUCACAUAAUGGGGUUUUGGGGCACUUUAUUGGGGUUUUGGGGUCACUUUAAUGGGGUUUUGGGUCUCAUCAGUGGGAUUUUGGGUCACUUCAUUGGGAUUUGGGGUACGUUAAUGGGAUUUCGAGCCACGUAAUGGGAUUUUGGGUCUAUGUAAUGGGAUUUCGAGCCACGUAAUGGGAUUUCGGGUCUACGGAAUGGGAUUUUGGGUCUAUGUAUUGGGAUUUUGGGUCAUGCUAGUGGGAUUCUGGGUCUUGUUAAUGGGAUUUCGAGCCACGGAAUGGGAUUUUGGGUCUCGUUAAUGGGAUUUUGGGUACAUUAAUGGGAUUUCGGGUCUACGUAAUGGGAUUUCGAGCCACGUAAUGGGAUUUUGGGUACGUUAAUGGGAUUUUGGGUCUACGUAAUGGGAUUUCGAGCCACGGAAUGGGAUUUUGGGUCACUUUAUUGGGGUUUUGUGUACGGUAAUGGGAUUUCGAGCCACAUAAUGGGAUUUCGAGCCACGUAGUGGGAUUUUGGGUCUUGUUAUUGGGAUUUUGGGUACGUUAAUGGGAUUUUGGGUCUACGUAAUGGGAUUUCGAGCUACGUAAUGGGAUUUUGGGUCUACGGAAUGGGAUUUGGGGUUGUGGUCAUGGGAUUUUGGGGCUACGCAAUGGGAUUUGGGGUGCAUUCAUGGGAUUUUGGGGCUACGCAAUGGGGUUUGGGGUACAUUCAUGGGAUUUGGGGGCUACGCAAUGGGAUUUGGGGUUGUGGUCAUGGGAUUUUGGGGCUACGCAAUGGGAUUUGGGGUACAUUAAUGGGGUUUUGGGGGCUACGCAAUGGGAUUUGGGGUUGUGGUCAUGAAAGAUUUUUUGGGCUACACAAUGGGGUUGGGUGCAAUAUGGGGUUUGGGGGCUACGCAAUGGGGUUUGGGGUUGUGGUCAUGGGAUUUGGGGGCUACACAAUGGGGUUUCGGGUCUACGUAAUGGGAUUUUGGGUCUACGUAAUGGGAUUUCGAGCCACGGAAUGGGAUUUCAAGCCACGUAAUGGGAUUUUGGGUCUACGUAAUGGGAUUUCGGGUCCCGCUAAUGGGAUUCCAGCCCGGAUCGCCCUCUCUAGGCCCCUAUAGGGCCAGGUAGAGCGUGAUGGGGCAGUGGUCGCUUCCCAUGGCCGCGGAGCGGAUCUUGGAGUCGCACAGCGCCUCCCGGAGUCGCGUGGAGAGGAGGAAAUAAUCCAACCUCCAGCCCACGUUGCGCUCCCGGGCGCCCCCCAUAUAGGUCCAAAAGGUGUACGCGUUGGGGACGUCGGGGUAAAGGAGGCGGAAGGAAUCCAAAAACCCCCCAUCCAAAAGGGCCCCGAAAGCGUCCCGUUCUUCUUGGGUGAAUCCGGGGGACCUCCGGUUGCUUUUGGGGUUCCUGAGGUCGAUCUCACGGUGGGCCACGUUGAGGUCCCCGCAGAGGACGACGGGUUUUUGGGCGUCCAAACGUUGCAGGAAGGAUUUAAAGGCUCCGUCCCAACGUUGGCGGUAUUGGCAGCGGUGGUGAGAACCCCGGACCGAAAUUUGGGACGUAGGCUGAGACCACGUAGACGGAGGGGAAUUCCGCCGUCAAGACCCGGCCUCGGGCCGUCGUGCUCCUCUAUGC
ensembl:lncRNA